CGGCAUCCUGGUUGCAAUGACGCGUUCUGCAAGGAUCUCUGUUACACGUGAGUCACACGAUGGAACGCAGCAUUUGACGUAGGCAAAGUUUGCGCCCGUUGCACGUCUGCCAAAAUGAACACUCGCUAAAGUGAAGAAGAAAGUUCACAAGAGUUUUGCUAGCUGCUGAGAACAGCAUACUCUGGCCGCAGCUGGAACGCCAAGCUAGCGAGAGAAUUCCAGUGGUUGAAAACAGCAUUAUGCAUUCAGUGACCAGCUUUGUUGUGGUCUUCUCCGUGGUAAUGAUUGUUGCUACCGCAACCAACGAAACAGGUUAGGAAAGAACCAUGCUUUUAGCGUGCACUUUGGUCGUGAUGUUGGGUCUCGGAGCACAAGUUACCGCUACGACCAAGAAUGACAGCAAAGGGUGUGACUUCUCCGGCAUAGACGUGGACCCCUUUAUGACAAGAAUUCUUGCUCUGCUACCUUCGAACUACUCCAUCAAGCCCGCCGACUUUAGGCCGUUCAUCCCUGGACUUGAGAUCGGCAGCCUGAGACUGAGUGGCUUCGAUAAAAUCCUCCGUUACGGGCCGUUGGUUCCUUACUGCGUGGAUGGUAGGCACAUGCUGCAAGUGGACCUGAUCAACAACGGUGACGUCAACAUGAUCUCGCGCUGGAAAUCUUGCUCCGGGGACGAAGGGGAGAUUCAUUUCCGCAACUCAUUCUCACGUCUUACAGUUCAGUUCCACGUGCUCACUCAUCCCACCGCGCGGGCCUUUUCAUUCGACUUUGAGGAUGCAGUAGUAGUUCCCGUGAGUUCGGGUUAUCCUUACCUUGUAAUCGAAGGCGCAGGUGAGGGCGUAAGCACAGCAAGCAGAUGGCUCAGCAAAAUUUUCCCCGCUGAGGUUACGAAGGUGUGGACCGAUAACUUCCAUACGCACUUCGGUGCCGCUUUGCGCGACGCUGUGCGCGGUACCUUUUCGGGAGGGCCUAGACCUGCGCUUUACUACGAACGACUCCAUUAAUGUCGUGAACGACAGUUCUUGACUUGCAGUUUGUGGAAUACAACAGUCCUUCCUCCCAAGUGGCCUGUUUGUGUUAUUUCCUUCUUCUAUAUAAAGUAUAUUGUAUGAAAAAACCGAUUGUAUCUAAAAAAUAAAAUAAAAUAUAUAAAAUAAAAGAAACUU